rnacentral:misc_RNA from 1 species
GAAACCUUUAGGCAUGAUUUAGGACUUUAUUUCUUUUCUCUAAUUGUUUGUAAUAAUAUGCUUUGAUGUAAAUAUGGUUAUGCAUGUAAUUGACUUAGUAAUAUGCGAAUAGGGCAAGACAGUAAGCAUGAUAAAUAAUUCUAAAUUAGGAACUUUGGCAUGCGUAGGAUGAAAUAAAUGCAUAUGUACUUGUUUGAUUCCUAUUUGUACCAACCUCCAUGUGUAACUUCUGAUUAAAAA